UCGUUAUCAAGAAAGGUGGAGGGACUAGACCCAUUGAAACCUUGGCAACCCUUUCCGAUAAGGAAAAGAAGGUGCUACAUUCUAUCUUUAUCCCGCGUACUUGUGCUGGAGGUGUUAUUCUAAAUAGCAU
rnacentral:ncRNA from 2 species